UACGGAGGGUGCAAGCGUUAAUCGGAAUUACUGGGCGUAAAGCGUGCGUAGGCGGUUCUAUAAGACAGAUGUGAAAUCCCCGGGCUCAACCUGGGAACUGCAUUUGUGACUGUAGAGCUGGAGUACGGGCAGAGGGGGAUGGAAUUCCGCGUGUAGCAGUGAAAUGCGUAGAUAUGCGGAGGAACACCGAUGGCGAAGGCAAUCCCCUGGGCCUGUACUGACGCUCAUGCACGAAAGCGUGGGGAGCAAACAGG
rnacentral:rRNA from 1 species